rnacentral:rRNA from 1 species
UGGCUCAGGAUGAACGCUGGCGGCGUGCUUAACACAUGCAAGUCGAGCGAAGCACUCUGAAAGAUCCUCGGGAUGAUUCUAGUGACUUAGCGGCGGACGGGUGAGUAACGCGUGGGCAACCUGCCUGUACAGGGGGAUAACAGUUAGAAAUGACUGCUAAUACCGCAUAAGCGCACAGCAUGGCAUCAUGCAGUGUGAAAAAACUCCGGUGGUACAAGAUGGGCCCGCGUUGGAUUAGCUUGUUGUGGGGUAACGGCCCACCAAGGCGACGAUCCAUAGCCGGACUGAGAGGUCGAACGGCCACAUUGGGACUGAGACACGGCCCAGACUCCUACGGGAGGCAGCAGUGGGGAAUAUUGCACAAUGGAGGAAACUCUGAUGCCAGCGACGCCGCGUGAGUGAUGAAGUAUUUCGGUAUGUAAAGCUCUAUCAGCAGGGAAGAAGACGACGGUACCUGACUAAGAAGCCCCGGCUAACUACGUGCCAGCCGCCGC